UACGUAGGGUGCGAGCGUUUAAUCGGAAUUACUGGGCGUAAAGCGUGCGCAGGCGGUUCGCCAAGUCAGGUGUGAAAUCCCCGGGCUUAACCUGGGAAUUGCGCUUGAAACUAGCGGGCUUGAGUGUGGGCAGAGGGGGGUGGAAUUCCACGGUGUAGCAGUGAAAUGCGUAGAGAUGUGGAGGAACACCGAUGGCGAAGGCAGCCCCCUGGGUCAACACUGACGCUCAUGCACGAAAGUGUGGGGAGCAAACAGG
rnacentral:rRNA from 1 species